GCUUGUCCGGAGAAGGAAGUGUAGAACGUGAUAAGCGUACAACAGCGUACUCAUUAUGACGAUUACCAGGCAACAACGAUGCAUGAAACAAGGACUUUACACUGGAGAGAGAGUCUUCUCUGUCCAAUUGGCAUCACAGCUUCGUGUCCCCAAAGUGCUUCCAGGAGACUGGGGUGACUGACAUUCAGAGAUGGAGCAGCCAUGAGAAAGAUGAAACUUUUCUGGAUCUUCCCCACUCUGAGUGACUUUCUUUACCGGCCAGCCUCCGCUCCGGUCAUAUUAACGCAGGCAAAGCGCUCACACCGGGGGAGGGGAGAGGACUAACAGGGAUUGAGGGCCACCGGGCACGUUAUUACUUAACCUUGCAAAUGACCCUCAAGCCGGCUGUCAUGAUCACCGGUCAACCAGCACUCAGGGAGGCGAGAUCACUUCUAAAUGCGACCGAGGACCCUCGGGUGGGUCCGGUGUUCCUGGGCAAUGUGUUUCACUACCGUCUUCCUUGGUUAGCACCGAUCCUGAGUUCGCCCUCUGGAAAGGAGGUUUCACUCAACAACUCCUCAUUCACUUACAAUGAACACGUUGCCCACGCUCUUGCCUGGUGCUGUGUUCGGCUCUGGAGGAUGCAGCUGCAGGUCAUGCUGUGUUUCCCCUCAGAGGACGGUGGGGAGCAAGGCAAAAUCAAAUACCCCGCUGCCUCCAAGUGCUUAGUGAAGGAAAAGAAAUCAUCUUGCCUAAAGACAGACAGAGGCUGUACAUUUUGCCACCUGGUUCCCGGCUCCUUCAAACGCAGAGGACAUCACUUCAUUCACCAUGACUUUGCCCAAUCUGGAACCUCAAUGGCACCUUCUUCACCGAUUAGGAUUUUCUCCUUGUGUUGGCUUUCAGGGGCACUCUGUGCGCACCUUGUUCCGUUCUCUGCUCAAGGCAAGGGGGGCACCAGGUUCCUUCUUUGCCUUGUGCUUCCAUGAUGGUUGACAUAUCCCUCCCCGCUCCCCACUAGUCAGAGCCACAGGAUCCCCUCCCAUUAAGGUGGGUGUGGAAGAUCCAGAUGUUGACUACUUCUCCGCCCGCUUUCCCCAGGCUGGCUCCAUCUUCGCAUUAGGAGCCAGAUGGCUGCAUAAGCUUUAAGUGUCACAUUCCAACAAGACACCGUUCAGAGGAAGAAGAAAGAUUAGAAAAGGAAAGAAGGAAGCUUUCCCAGAAGACGCCCACAGAUCCCUUCAUUUCUCUGUGGCCGGAAUAGGGUGCUUCGCUCAUCCCUGCACCGAUCGCUGGUAAGAGGAGGAGGCCGUGACCAGGAUGGCCUAGGCCGGCUCUGCUCAGUGCCAGCCUCUCUCUAGAAACUCAGGUGCUCCAGCUCCAGCUGGGACUGCUGGGAUCAGAACCUCCAGGAAGGAGCCAGAUCCAUGUGGCUAUUAGCUAACUGGUGACUCGGGGGCUAACUGGAGCAAACCUUCUGGUGCUGCCCUCCCGAGCUGAAAGGUCCACUGGGGGAUGAGCCACGGGGACUGAUGCCGCUACCAGCCCUACCAGCCUUCCACGCCAGCCGUAGUGACAGCAGUGAUGCUGCUCCUACUUCCGCCCAAGCCAACUUUGGCCAACUUUGUUCCCACUCAAACACUCAGCCAGUGUCUGAACUUCACUGCUUCUUGAACCUUUCGAAGUUCAUGUUUUGGCAUCAGGCCUUAAUAUUUCACGUUUCACAGACAUUGCUGCUUUUCAUUCAACACGUUUUUACCAAGGCCCGGUAAGGGUUCUGGGUUCACGAUCGUGAACAAGGUACACGGGGAGGCCGGGCGAGGGAGCUUUGCAACAUUCUGGAGGUGAAGAUGCAUUUCAUCGUUUUACAGAUGAGAAAAGCAAACAUCUGAGAAUUAAGUGACUUGCUGGUGGCUACGGGGCCAGAAGGGCAGAGCUGGGGCUGCAGUGGCCGUGCUUCUGCUUCAGUGCUGUUUACCACUCACCCACUCCCUUUCUCGGAGCUUCCCUAAAAUCCUCCAAAGAUCUCCUUCCUUCCUCCGGACUCCCAGGGGCUGGACUGAAAGGGAGCUGGGAGGAAAAGGAAAUGAGGGAGAUGACAUUUUUAGAGGCAAGACAGUUUUCAAAAAAAGAGGUGGUUUUUCUCCCCCUUCCAUUUGCAGGUGAAGUAAAGCAGGUAAGAGGUUAUGUGGGGAAAUGGGGGAAAUGAUUAAGAACCAGGUAAGAUUACCUUCCUGACUUUUUUCCAUUCUCCAGAUGUCUGUGUGCCAGGGGGGAAAAAUCUGUUAAAAAACCAACAAUAACAAAUAAAGCAAAAAUCUUCCAGCUUCA
rnacentral:lncRNA from 1 species